ACCAUCUCCGAGGCCGAAAUCCCGAGGUGGCAGCGCGCGCACCUCUGCACGGAGAACCUUCUGGAACAGAUAAAUCGUCAGGACUCCCCGUAACACAGAGGACAACAUGUGGGGACAAACGCGAGGACAGGAGCGCCGGGCGAGUUUUGCCGAAACUCAGGGCUUCCUUGGUGCUUGGAGGUCAGGUUGGGACUGCCUGGAUUUGAGAGCCGCGUCCUAUUUGUGAAGAGCCCGCAAAGCCUGCCCAGUCUGAAUAAUUUGGAGAUUUGAUCUGAUGAUGGAUGGAAACUGGAUCAUAAACACAUUUCAUCUUAAAGGCGAAUGCAACGAAAUGACAUCCAGCUGGUGGUCACCACAGAGAAACCACCACCAGUCAGGCUCUGUUUUCACAGAUUCCCGUGUUAUGUUAGUCCCAAUAUAUUCUUGACUUAAUGCGACUGUGGAGCUAUAAAGAUCCGUGUCAGCUUUAAAGGGUGUGAAAACUCUGUCACGCAAAUAAAAAAAAAUAAAUAAUAAGAAAAAAAGAUUUAAGUAAGAAAAAAAGGCAGACAUGGCUGGCUUUGCUGUCCAGUGCACGGGCCAAAUAUGGUGACAACAAACCAAAAUGAGGCAGCUCAAGGUCUGUAUUUUGACUAACACAGCACAGGCCUUUACGGCUGAGAUCCGGGUAACGAGCUAUGGGCUCUGCAAGGUCGACCACUGCACGUUUCUCCAUAAAACAAUGGAUGCUGGCCGAAAGAGGGACUUGGAUUUGGUCCCAUUAAUAGAUUUACUGA